rnacentral:rRNA from 1 species
GACGAACGCUGGCGGCGCGCCUAACACAUGCAAGUCGAACGAGCGAGAGAGAGCUUGCUUUCUUGAGCGAGUGGCGAACGGGUGAGUAACGCGUUAGGAACCUGCCUCAAAGAGGGGGACAACAGUUGGAAACGACUGCUAAUACCGCAUAAGCCCACGGUGCCGCAUGGCACAGAGGGAAAAGGAGCAAUCCGCUUUGAGAUGGCCUCGCGUCCGAUUAGCUAGUUGGUGAGGUAACGGCCCACCAAGGCGACGAUCGGUAGCCGGACUGAGAGGUUGAACGGCCACAUUGGGACUGAGACACGGCCCAGACUCCUACGGGAGGCAGCAGUGGGGAAUAUUGCACAAUGGGGGAAACCCUGAUGCAGCGACGCCGCGUGGAGGAAGAAGGUCUUCGGAUUGUAAACUCCUGUUGUUGGGGAAGAUAAUGACGGUACCCAACAAGGAAGUGACGGCUAACUACGUG